UACAGAGACUGCAAGCGUUAUUCGGAUUCACUGGGCGUAAAGGGUGCGCAGGCGGCCAAGUGUGUUAGGCGUGAAAGCCCGGGGCUUAACCUCGGAAUUGCACCUAAAACUACAUGGCUAGAGCAUUGGAGAGGGUAGCGGAAUUCACGGUGUAGCAGUGAAAUGCGUAGAUAUCGUGAGGAACACCAGUGGCGAAGGCGGCUUCCUGGCCUGUUCUUGACGCUGAGGCGCGAAAGCUAGGGGAGCAAACGGG
rnacentral:rRNA from 1 species